UACGGAGGGGGUUAGCGUUGUUCGGAAUGACUGGGCGUAAAGCGCGCGUAGGCGGGCUGGAAAGUUGGGGGUGAAAUCCCGGGGCUCAACCCCGGAAUGGCCUUCAAAACUCCCAGCCUAGAGUUCGAGAGAGGUGAGUGGAAUUCCGAGUGUAGAGGUGAAAUUCGUAGAUAUUCGCAAGAACACCAGUGGCGAAGGCGGCUCACUGGCCCGAUACUGACGCUGAGGCACGAAAGCGUGGGGAGCAAACAGG
rnacentral:rRNA from 1 species